rnacentral:rRNA from 1 species
GACGAACGCUGGCGGCGUGCUUAACACAUGCAAGUCGAACGGUGAAGCGCCUUCCUUUUUGGUGGGUGUGGAUGAGUGGCGAACGGGUGAGUAACACGUGAGUAACCUGCCCCCUUCUUCUGGAUAACCGCAUGAAAGUGUGGCUAAUACGGGAUAUUCUGGGUCUGUCGCAUGAUGGGUCUGGGAAAGAUAUUGUUUCGGUGGGGGAUGGGCUCGCGGCCUAUCAGCUUGUUGGUGGGGUGAUGGCCUACCAAGGCGGUGACGGGUAGCCGGCCUGAGGGGGUGGACGGUCACACUGGGACUGAGACACGGCCCAGACUCCUACGGGAGGCAGCAGUGGGGAAUAUUGCACAAUGGGCGCAAGCCUGAUGCAGCGACGCCGCGUGAGGGAUGGAGGCCUUCGGGUUGUGAACCUCUUUCGCCAGUGAAGCAGGCCUGCCUCGUUUGUGGGUGGGUUGACGGUAGCUGGAUAAGAAGCGCCGGCUAACUACGUG